rnacentral:lncRNA from 1 species
UGGGUCGGACAGCCGCCGGAGGCCGUUGUGACGCUGCCCCCUGACGCGCCACAUCGGCAAAGGUUUUCCUGGGCAGCUCUGCGAGCUGUGGCCAAAACGCUGGCAUUUGAAGCAUCUUAGGGGAUUUGGCACAUAUGGCCUGACACGGAGCUUGAUGUACCCGGCCUCUACAGACUCGGGCAGAAUACUUGAACCGAAUGAACUGGAAAACUUCAUCGGUGCGCCCUCUUUUGUGAGGGCGAUCAGGAAGCGGAGGGAAGGAGCUAGCCAUAAAGGAAUUGAAUUUUCGGCAACAACGCCAGCCACCCACCAUGGAGCCCUACCAGGGGACGUUACAGGGACUGUAAAAACAGGUCCUGCAAACGCCAGCUUUACGUUGUCACUAUAACCAAAUAUGAGAUAACCUAGGUUGGUUAUUCACACAAGGUUAACCCUUGCUGCCUGGAAAAAUUGGAAGUAAGCGGAAGCUAGGAGAAGACAGGAAAGAUGAAAAGUAAGAGAAAGACGAAGAUUAGAGGGAGAGAGAGACAGGAAAAGGCAACUACCGAUUUCCCCCGGGUGGGUCAGUCCGGGGGUGCCGUCUACGUGAAGCCGAGGCCAAAGGGGUGUGUUGCCGCCGCCGAGGGGCCGUAAAGGUCCACACACCCGGCAUUGGCUCAACCCCCAGGAUCCCCUUUUCCCCGGACACGGCUAAGCCGCGCACGGCUACACGCGGGAGGGUCCAACCCUCGUGUGCUCGGGUACGUGGUGUCGCAACACACCAAACGCCUGC